GAUGAAGAACGUAGCGAAAUGCGAUACGUAAUGUGAAUUGCAGAAUUCAGUGAAUCAUCGAGUCUUUGAACGCACAUUGCGCCCCCUGGUAUUCCGGGGGGCAUGCCUGUCCGAGCGUCAUUGCUGCCCUCAAGCACGGCCUGUGUGUUGGGCCUCCGUCCUCCUCCCGGGGGACGGGCCCGAAAGGCAGCGGCGGCACCGCGUCCGGUCCUCGAGCGUAUGGGGCUUCGUCACCCGCUCUUGUAGGCCCGGCCGGCGCUUGCCGACACAUCAAUCUUUUUUCCAGGUUGACCUCGGAUCAGGUAGGGAUACCCGCUGAACUUAAGCAUAUCAAUAAGCGGAGGA
rnacentral:misc_RNA from 1 species